ACUUAAAUAGCUUAUACUACUAAAGCUUUUCUUUGAAGAAGAAACGAAGUUACUCUUUAAGUA
rnacentral:tRNA from 1 species